rnacentral:lncRNA from 1 species
CGGCAAUUAACUGAAAACAGUUAUUGGUAUCGUGGCCGUGCGUGCGAUGGUACUGACAGUACUUGUCAGGAUUUCGUUGGUCUGCCUCAGCUCUUAGGGGCCUGGGCCACUGUAAGAACUCCUUAUCUUGUACGGCUAUGAGUACCUCGGCCCUUGAGGCGUUGAGUGGGGUCGGCUUCUCCGGGACCCAGGAGGGCCGUGAUCUUUGUACUGGGUCCUGAGAAGGGAGGGGUCUUUGAUCUCUGCGCUCCCAAGGCUGUUUAUAGGGCUCAGGCCUUCUACCGUGCUUUCUCUCAUGUUUCUCCAGCCUCUUUUCCUCCGGUGCUUUUCCUUUAUCUGUCA